AGAAAGAAGGUAUUUAAAAUCUAGUAUAUAUUUCUCUGAAAUAAUUAAGGAAUAAAUAGAAACAUAUGUAUUGAAUUUAAAAUAAAAAAAUUGUUACGUAUAAGACCACAACAAUUUUUAGUUAACCAUAAGUCAUUUUAUUAGAUACUCUUUCACUGAACUAAAAUACACUGUAGUUAUUAAGUAAAAGGCUUAAAGAAAGGAGCAAAACUUGUACAUAUCCAUAACCAGAUGUAUUCAGACACACAAACGUACAUACAGCUAACACAUACAGCCACACAUGCGCAUAGACACACACAGACACACACACACACACACAUACACACACACACACACACACACACACACACACACACACACACACACACACACACAUAUAUAUAUAUAUAUAUAUAAUAGAGUGAGACUACUAUGCUAUCGGAAGCACGGAGCCUUCCGUGCUUCCAGCUCGUUUUCGAUCUUGUGACUUUCGAAUCGUCGAUCGGCUCCGUUAAACUUGAUCUAGAGUAUUUGGAGUACCUAGAAAAUAAAUUUUAUUAUUUUUCGAUAUCAUUUGCCUAGUGAUCGAAUGGGCUCAAAAUCAACAAAUUUUAAUGGCUGUAGUGAGCCGUUUGCAAGUUUAAUGGUGUAGAAAUAUUCAAAUCACGUGAAAUUUUGAUAGAAAAUUCUUUAUACUAUAUAAAACAAGAUCAAUAUCUUUGAUUUAAAAUUUUAAUGUCAUAUUAUUAUAUUUUGUAAGAUUUUUAUUUUCAGCCGUUGAUUUUGAACCCCUUCGUUCACUAGGCAAAAGAUAUCGUAAAACCAUAAAAUUUAUUUUCUAGGUACUUCAAAUAUUCUAGAUCAAGUUUAACGGAGCCGAUCGACGAUUCGAAAGUCGCAAGAUCGAAAACGAGCUGGAAGCACGGAAGGCUCCGUGCUUCCGAUAGCAUAGUAGCAUCACUCUAUAUAAUACAAAUUUUAAAAUUUUGAUAUUUUUAAAUUUUAAAGUUUUAAAUUUUAAAUUUAAUAUUUUAUAUUUUAAAUUAUAAUAUUUAUUUUCAAAUUUUAAACUUUUCAAAAUUUAAAAUUUUAAAUCUCUAAAUUCUAAUAAUACACGUAAUAAAUCGCGUAAUAAAAUCUAACCUAAUAAAUGCAAUUUAAAUUACAUAAAAUAUCGCUGUAUAAAAAAAUAUAGAAUUUAAAUUUCAAGACUAAAAUUUUAGAAAUAUAGUGCAUAUGUGUAUAUAUAUAAUUAAUUUUAUUAAAUAAUUUUUUUACAAUUUUUUUUUAUUUAUUGGUUUUCUUAAAUUAUUUUGAUAGAUUUAUCUCAUUUUAGUGAUUUUUAUUUAUACGGCUAAAAUAUCAAUGAAUAUCAUUAAAAGUUUUAGUAAAAUAUGAUACCUAAUUUUAAUUUUAUUUUAAAUUUAAAUUUGAAUUUAUAUUUAUAUUUAAAUUUUUUUUAGAGAAAGGUAGCAUAUUAUUUUUAUUUCUGUAUCCAGUUAGUACCCUGUGGUUUUUAAACCACAGGGUACUAAAGUGAGAAAAUGCGAAACCAUAAAGUACUAACUUGAUACACUUUAAACCACAGGAUACUAAAGUAAAAAAGUGCAAAACCACAAGAUACUAACUUGAUACACUUUAAACCAUAAGGUACUAAAAUGAAAAAAUAUGAAACCACAUGGAGAUUUUUGAAGUUUUCCCCUUUAUUAUUUCACGAAAUUCAAAGAAUCCG
rnacentral:lncRNA from 1 species